AGUGAACGCUGGCGGUAGGCCUAACACAUGCAAGUCGAACGGCAGCACAGUAAGAGCUUGCUCUUACGGGUGGCGAGUGGCGGACGGGUGAGGAAUACAUCGGAAUCUACUUUUUCGUGGGGGAUAACGUAGGGAAACUUACGCUAAUACCGCAUACGACCUACGGGUGAAAGCAGGGGAUCUUCGGACCUUGCGCGAUUGAAUGAGCCGAUGUCGGAUUAGCUAGUUGGCGGGGUAAAGGCCCACCAAGGCGACGAUCCGUAGCUGGUCUGAGAGGAUGAUCAGCCACACUGGAACUGAGACACGGUCCAGACUCCUACGGGAGGCAGCAGUGGGGAAUAUUGGACAAUGGGCGCAAGCCUGAUCCAGCCAUACCGCGUGGGUGAAGAAGGCCAUCGGGUUGUAAAGCCCUUUUGUUGGGAAAGAAAAGCAGCAGGUUAAUACCCCGCUGUCCUGACGGUACCCAAAGAAUAAGCACCGGCUAACUUCGUG
rnacentral:rRNA from 1 species